UUCUAUUUUCAAUUUUCUCGCUUGGUUUCCUCACUUCACAACCAAACAGAAGGUAAGUACUAUUCUUGCAUAAUUUUAUAUUUUAUUGAUUUUAAAAUGUGAACGAUUUAAUCCAGCACGGUGAAAUUAAUUAUACCAUUCCUUCGGUUAGGUCUAUAUCAUGAUGUGUGUGCAAAUAGGCCUAUCUAAGAUGUUCUCUUGCUGUCGUAUUGUUGCGUAAAUAUACCGGAGAUAACGUUUUAUAUUGUACUGUAUAAUAUAGGCCGAGUGGUAACAUAACUGUUUUCUAUUCUUUCUUUCCAAUCGGUCAGGCGUGUACAGUAUCCAACAGGGAUUGUGAGGGAACAUUUGGAAGCUCAAGGGGAUCAUCUGGAAGCUCAAGGAGUCGAUUUGGUCUGCGAACUCGGCUAAGAAACGCGAUAAAGAGGGCAAUGGCGGAGCGAGAACAAUAACACAUCCCAUAUAAUAUUUGAUCAGCAACCUUACAUUUUAAGAUUUUUAAUGCAGUUUACAUCUAUUUUCUUAUACUGAAGUACUCGUAAUCUACAUAUAAUUUAAACGCUAUAAGUGUUUACACAGUGGUCGCAUUAGAAUGGAACUGGACCAUUUGCAGGUAGACAUGGGCUUAUCAUAACACGCUACUAUUGGCCGGGCUAGCCCUCAAAGAAAGCAGUCAUUACAUCAGUGACACACAAUGUAAUGUUUGAUUCGCCCUAUAUGGUGACUGUCGACCGGUGGAAAUUCAUCUGCACAUUUGACGCUGAAAAAGAAGACGUAUAGGCCCGGUUACUUGUAAUUAUUCUUAUAAGGAUAUUCCAUCUAUUUAAAAAAAACAAAAAAACAAAAAAAACAAAAAAAAAAAAAAACUUAUUUA